rnacentral:rRNA from 1 species
UACGUAGGGUGCAAGCGUUGUCCGGAAUUAUUGGGCGUAAAGAGCUCGUAGGUGGUUUGUCGCGUUGUUCGUGAAAACUCACAGCUUAACUGUGGGCGUGCGGGCGAUACGGGCAGACUUGAGUACUGCAGGGGAGACUGGAAUUCCUGGUGUAGCGGUGGAAUGCGCAGAUAUCAGGAGGAACACCGGUGGCGAAGGCGGGUCUCUGGGCAGUAACUGACGCUGAGGAGCGAAAGCGUGGGGAGCGAACAGG